AAAAAAUUUUUCAAUUAAUAGUGUAACAUACAUGGUUCAUAUUGCCAGAGCAUCAAUGGCUUCUAGUUGGGCUUUUGUCUGAGGCUUCCAUAAUCAUACCUCAGUCAUGGCAUACGCUUCUUCAUCAACAUGGAAAAUUCCUGCUACAACAGCUAAAAGGGUCUCUGAUUCUACCAUUUCAGGCUAUUUUCUCUUCUUCUCCACCAUUCAUAGCCCUCAACAAUAUAAAAGAUCUCGUUUAACUACUUUCUCAGCUGACCCCUCUUCUUCUUCUUCUUCAAGCUCC
rnacentral:misc_RNA from 1 species